AUUGAACGCUGGCGGCAUGCCUUACACAUGCAAGUCGAACGGUAACAGGUCUUCGGAUGCUGACGAGUGGCGAACGGGUGAGUAAUACAUCGGAACGUGCCUAGUAGUGGGGGAUAACUACUCGAAAGAGUGGCUAAUACCGCAUGAGAUCUACGGAUGAAAGCAGGGGAUCGCAAGACCUUGUGCUACUAGAGCGGCCGAUGGCAGAUUAGGUAGGUGGUGGGAUCAAAGAUUACCAAGCCGACGAUCUGUAGCUGGUCUGAGAGGACGAUCAGCCACACUGGGACUGAGACACGGCCCGGACGCCUACGGGAGGCAGCAGUGGGGAAUUUUGGACAAUGGGCGCAAGCCUGAUCCAGCGAUGCCGCGUGCAGGAUGAAGGCCUUCGGGUUGUAAACUGCUUUUGUACGGAACGAAAAGCCCCGGGUUAAUACCCUGGGGUCAUGACGGUACCGUAAGAAUAAGCACCGGCUAACUACGUGCCAGCCGCCGCCGUAA
rnacentral:rRNA from 1 species